UACGAAGGGGGCUAGCGUUGUUCGGAAUUACUGGGCGUAAAGCGCACGUAGGCGGAUCAUUUAGUCAGGGGUGAAAUCCCGGGGCUCAACCUCGGAACUGCCUUUGAUACUGAUGGUCUCGAGUCCGAUAGAGGUGAGUGGAAUUCCUAGUGUAGAGGUGAAAUUCGUAGAUAUUAGGAAGAACACCAGUGGCGAAGGCGGCUCACUGGAUCGGUACUGACGCUGAGGUGCGAAAGCGUGGGAGCAAACAGG
rnacentral:rRNA from 1 species